UUUUACAGGCCCUGAGCAAGUGAAAGCAUCACCAAGGAUGAAUCAGGCUGAAUUGGGAGAAGAGGCAAACUCAUCUGUGUAUAAGAAGAGGCAGUAUAAGAACUCCUUGGAAGUACCUUUUAAUGUAGGUGGAGGCCGAGGAGGUUUAAACGUGCUGCCUUGCGCCAAAGUAUCCACAAUCCAGCUGAGAGCAUUUGAGCAAUACUCCAUCUGAGAGGGAAAAGACACAAAAGCUGUUUAUUGACAUACAGUUAAAGCUGGGGACUGUAGCACGGCCAAUCAGGAUGAAAGGAUUGGCCAGCCUACCUGUCUGUCUGUCUGUCUUCCUACCCACCUGCGGCACUCGUGGCACAUGAAAAUGUGUUUUGAGGGACCAGCUUUGGAGAGAGCCUUGUGGGGAAUGGGUAAGAUUUUUUGGGUUGGAUACUUUCAAAAUCUGUCUGUCUCUUUCUAGUUCUCAAAUGUGGCCACAUUUUUAUAUAGGUUUUUACUGUUUGUACUGUGCUGUAUUAUAUUGUUUGCUAACCACAGCUUUAAUGAGAAUUCUAGCUUGACCAAUGAAUAUCGUACAGUCCCAUAUGAACAUCAACUUAAAUAGUUCGUCAUUUUGGUAAAUACAAAAUCCGCUUUCUGGCAGAGUAAAAUGAGA